CUUAACAACCAUUGCGACAGUAAACGUCCUAACUCAAACACAGUUCUGGCUCUCAACAAGGGCAUCAAACAUCUGAACCAAAAAUCCGAGCAGGCACAGACGAGGCGAAAAGCCCCACAGAAAGGAAGAGAAAUAAGAUUAUUCAGGCAAACACAAGUACUGGACUGAACGAUUUAUAUAAUCUUCACAAACCACAACCAAAAAAGAGUACUUGAUUAGCAACUCCAUUACAGAAGUACUAGUUGAUGCGGAAAACAGAAGGUAACUCAUGUCCAACUAACAUGAACCAGGCGUCGUCUGGCGACACCAUCCACAUUUAUUCUUCGCAUAGACAAAGCAGGGACACCUGACCAAAGGAAAUCAGAACGCUCUACUGAGUCUUGGCCAUGUGGCGGAUCAGAUCGACAACGCGGUUGCUGCACAGAAAUAAGAUUCAAGUGUUACAGGCUGAAGCUGAAGCGAUGAAACAGAGACAUUGGAUAGCGUGUUGUAGAAACAAAUCCGUUAUAUGGCAACUAACC
rnacentral:lncRNA from 1 species